AGAGUUUGAUCCUGGCUCAGAACGAACGUUGGCGGCAGGCUUAACACAUGCAAGUCGGAGGUGAACCGGGACUUCGGUCCCGCGGAAACUGGCGCACGGGUGAGUAACGCGUGGGAAUCUACCCCGGGGUGGGGAAUAACCGCUGGAAACGGCGGCCAAUACCGCAUACGCCUUGAGAGGGAAAGCUUUAUGCGCCCUGGGAUGAGCCCGCGUCGGAUUAGCUUGUUGGUGAGGUAACGGCUCACCAAGGCUUCGAUCCGUAGCUGGUCUGAGAGGAUGAUCAGCCACACUGGGACUGAGACACGGCCCAGACUCCUACGGGAGGCAGCAGUGGGGAAUAUUGGACAAUGGGGGCAACCCUGAUCCAGCCAUGUCGCGUGCGUGAAGAAGGCCUUAGGGUUGUAAAGCGCUUUCAGCGGGGAAGAUGAUGACGGCACCCGCACAAGAAGCCCCGGCUAACUCCGUGCCAGCAGCCGCGGUAAUACGGAGGGGGCAAACGUCGUUCGGAAUUACUGGGCGCCAAGGGUGCGUAUGCCGAUUAUCCAGUCAGAGGUGAAAGCCCUGGGCUCCACCUAGGAACUGCCUUUGAAACUGACACCCUUGACUCCCAGAGAAGAGGGCCGAAUUCCCUGUGGUAAAGGGAAAAUUCGCACACUUUUGGGAGAACCUCCGUGGCGAAGGCGGCCAUCUGGCUGGUUA
rnacentral:rRNA from 1 species